AGCUAACAAUUUUUUCCGAGGGCUCUGAUGUCCGAUUUUUUGUCGAGAUUUUCAGACGUUUCUUCAGAAAAGUUUCCGAGUAAUCUGCACAUACUCGUUUCUUUUGUUUUGUUUGAACAAAACAAAGCAAAAGAGAAAAAAAAACAUCGUAUACAGAGAGUUAACUCUUUUUUGGCGAGAAUUUCUAAUGUUACUCCAGAAAAGUUUCCGAGUAAUCUGCACAUACUCGUUUCUUUUGUUUUGAAAAAAAAAACACAAAAAUUCUGACAUUAGCAGAGAGUUAACUUUUUUCUGUUGAGAUUUAUUUUACCGUUCCUUUCGAAAAGUUUCCGAGUACUCUGCACAUGCUCGGUUGAAAUUAUUUGAAGAAUUUUGUGUAUACAACUUUUUUGUUUUUUUUGAUUAUGAUCAGUUUGUCGUCAAAAUUUGUACGGAGCACGAGUGCAGUGUGUUGCAGUGAAAAGUUAAAAUGAAAAUUAAAGGAAGAUUUGGACCUUCAGUACCUUAUGCUACGCCGUUUAAAAAAUCAACGCCAUGACAAUGUAAACACUUUUACAUAUGAAAAUUUUAGACUUAUUUUUCAAACUGGCGAGGUCAACGUUUUCGUGGCACGAAAUGUACCAAAAUACAGCUGUAAAGGACAUCUAAUUUAUUAGGCUCGUUAAAGAUGCGGCAUUGGAACAUAUUCCGGAAACUAUGGGAAGUGCCAUAUAAACCCAUAUAAAACAUUUCUUCAAAUCGGCUAAAGAUAGGCUUAACAAACCUUAACCUGGGCCAAAAUCGAACUCAGUCAACCUUAAACUCCUUUGUUCAUCUGAGAAUAAGCCAGCCGAUGACUUGAGCCAGCCAAAUAUGCGCUUUAUAUAUUUCCACCCUUAAUUAUAUUGAUUUACAUUGAAUUGCAACUUUUUAUGUUUUUUAUAUAUUAAUUUCCGUAUUCCUUAUAUUUUACAAAAAAAAAAAAAAAACUGAAUACAAAUGUUCUGUCAUUAAAUUGAAAAAUACAAACAUAAACAAUUAUCUAAAAACUAGAUAAAGUUUUAUUAUUUCUUUAUGUUUUUCGAUUACAACUAUAAAAUAAAUGUAGAUUUUUUUGCGAAUUUCGUAUCAAACAUCCUAUUAUUUUCCGAUUUUCGAAUGAAUUAUUCGAAUUUUUCCCGAUUUUCGGAUAAAACUAUAGAAUAAAUUCAGAUUUUUUUCCGAAUUUCGAAUCAAACAUCCGAAAAUUUUCAGAAUUUCGUAUCAAACAUCCUAUUAUUUUCCGAUUUUCGAAUGAAUUAUUCGAAUUUUUCCCGAUUUUCGGAUAAAACUAUAGAAUAAAUUCAGAUUUUUUUUCCGAAUUUCGUAUCAAACAUCCGAAAUUUUUCCGAAUUUCGUAUCAAACAUCCUAUAUUUCUCCGAAUUUUCCUUUUUUCUUUGCCGAAUUCUAUACGAAUUCGCCCCGAAACUCUUACGUUCUUUCAGAAUUUUUUCCGCAAAAUCUUUCAGAAUCUUGGGCAAUCUCACACAAUUUUUUUCCGAUUUCUUUCCGAAUUCGACAUCAGAGUCGGAAACUUGUGCAGAGUUUUUUUCCGAAUUCGGAAGAAAAUCGGAAAAAAAUGUUUGCUGGGUAUUUAC